rnacentral:rRNA from 1 species
UACGAAGGGGGCUAGCGUUGUUCGGAAUAACUGGGCAUAAAGCGCACGUAGGCGGAUUUGCAAGUCAGGGGUGAAAUCCCGGGGCUCAACCUCGGAACUGCCUUUGAAACUGCGAAUCUGGAAUCUCAGAGGGGAUAGCGGAAUUCCAAAUGUAGGGGUGAAAUCCGUAGAUAUUUGGAGGAACACCGGUGGCGAAGGCGGCUAUCUGGAUGAGUAUUGACGCUGAGGUGCGAAAGCGUGGGGAUCAAACAGG